AUGAACGCUGGCGGCGUGCCUAAUACAUGCAAGUCGCGCGAACGGACGAGAAGCUUGCUUCUCUGAUGUUAGCGGCGGACGGGUGAGUAACACGUGGAUAACCUACCUAUAAGACUGGGAUAACUUCGGGAAACCGGAGCUAAUACCGGAUAAUAUUUUGAACCGCAUGGUUCAAAAGUGAAAGACGGUCUUGCUGUCACUUAUAGAUGGAUCCGCGCUGCAUUAGCUAGUUGGUAAGGUAACGGCUUACCAAGGCAACGAUGCAUAGCCGACCUGAGAGGGUGAUCGGCCACACUGGAACUGAGACACGGUCCAGACUCCUACGGGAGGCAGCAGUAGGGAAUCUUCCGCAAUGGGCGAAAGCCUGACGGAGCAACGCCGCGUGAGUGAUGAAGGUCUUCGGAUCGUAAAACUCUGUUAUUAGGGAAGAACAUAUGUGUAAGUAACUGUGCACAUCUUGUCGGUACCUAAUCAGAAAGCCACGGCUAACUACGUG
rnacentral:rRNA from 1 species